GCAGCCUGGGCAGAGCUCGGCCUCCCCAGCAGGGCAGCCACAGUCCAGCCCACCCCAUCUUUCUCCCAGGUACCAACAGAUCCUUAGCCAGAGUUUCUUGACCUUGGCAUCAUUGACAUUAGAUAAUUCUUUGUGGAUUGCGACUAUCACAUGCAUGGUAGGAUGUGGAACAGCACCCUUGGCCUCUACCUACUAGAUGUCUACCUACUAGACAUUGCCACAUGUCCCCUGAGUGGGGGAACUUGCUCCAGUUGAGAACCACUGCUCUACACCCUAUCCUGAUUGCUUGACCCAGAAAAAGAACAUAGACUCUGAAGUCAGAGAAGGCUGGGUUCCAGUUCUUGCUCCAUCUCAUAGGAGCUCUGUGACCUUGGCCAAAUCAUCUCACCUCUUUCCGUGUAUAUAAAAUAGGGAUGGUAAAGACCGCCCACCACACACAGUGGCUGAGAGAACUGAAAGAACUAAGGCAGCCUGAUGGGACCCUGCACGUUCUGGGAGCCUGGGAGGGGAAAGAGCUUUUUGGUGCCCACUGUGUGCCAGGUUUUCUUCCACCUUCUUUUAGCUUUCAGACUUAGAGGAGCUGAUAUGAGCCAUUUUCUGGGCCCUGCCCAAGGAACUGGAAUCCAGACCCACUCCUGGGAAAACAGUGCCUUCUUGCAUUAAAAAGGAGCUCAGGGCCUCUGGCUGGCUGGAAACUUACAGAACCCCACAAACCAGACUGGAAGCUUCCUCAACCAUCACAGAAUCAGAGCUGGAAAGGGACCUUUCAAGGUCUCUAGUGCAAGCCCUCGAACUCCUUCCUCCAUAAGUCCUGCUGAGUGCAAGCUCAGCCUUGCUUGCAUUACUUCUUUUGACAGGGAGGUUGCCCUCUUCUCCAGAACGCCAUUGGAGCCUUAUGUGGUGGGCGCAGUGAUGUGGAGUUCCAGGCCCUUGGCCAAAGUGUCAGGGCCUUCUCCACUCUCCUCUCUUCCUCUCCCUCUUGGAGGAGUGGAGGACAGGAGAAGGGGUUGCACGGACCGGGCAGGGUGGAGGGUGCUUGCCAGCAUGAGGGAGCCUGCAGGAAUGGCUCUGCAGAGGAAAGUUUGGGAGAGCCAACCUCAAACUUUGAUUGGAAUCUUUGGGAUGUGUCGAUGGAGUCCUGGGCCAGUGGAGAGCAUGCUGGAUAGUGGGAACUGGGAACUGUCCCUGUCCUUUUGAUACCCUCAGGGCCCCCAUCCUUGACCUAUUAACCUCUCCCCUCUGGGCAGAGGCCGCCACCCCUAAGGAUGGCCCUACAUCCUGGCCACCUUCCUGAAGGUGCCCCUGGUUUCGAGGUCUCCCUCACUUCAGCACCUUGGCUCCCUCCCCUCCACCCCAUGCCCUGGGCAUGGGAGACCCCAGUUCCCACCCAAUACCGAAACCAGAAUCUCUUCUCUGCUCAACCCUUGAUCUGAAAGCCUCUGAGAGUAGGUGACACGGUGUCCUCCCCCAACUCCUGCCCCACUUCAGGUCUCCUCUAAGGCUGGCUGGUACUCUCUUGAUCUGGGGCCCCAGACAUUUGGGGUGGGUCCCCCUGAACCCGAACCUGAACCUGUCGGAAUCUCUAGUGGCAAACCACAGCAGGGGAGGCAGCGAUGACGUCACAGGGCAUGGGAUGGAGGACAUUUGCAUAGGUCCUACCCCAACAGCCAUAACAUUGUCCUUGAACCUCUUGGACACAGAGUUACUCUACCAGAUCAUGGUUAACCAGGGCUUGUCCUGGGGAAUGAGGCCUCUGCUAACUUGUUUUCCUCCAACGUUUGGGGAACGUGGUGGGGAGUUGGAUGCGGGAAGGGAAGUCUGAGUGCAUGUGUAGACGUGCACGUACACGUUCACAUGCACACAGACUGUGUAAAUGCUGUUGAACCGGGAGCUCAGUAGGCAGUAUCGGGGGGUAGAUCUUUAGCGGGGAUCCAAGACCACACAGGCAGGAUGUCAAUCAAGGUGGGCUGAACUUAGGUAGGAGAGACCACAGAAGAACAUGUUAUCAAAUAGAGACCCUCACUGAGAGGGCAGGCACCAGGCAUGGCCUGGGCAUACAUGUGGGCCCAGCAGCUAGAACCAUGGGGCCGAGGCCCUCAGUAGGCCAUCACGCUGCACACCUCCAGGGCACCACUGCAUGGAAGUCUGUGUGAUGGAGUCCUUAUUUUGCAGUGCACUGCCUGCACAGCUGUACGAGGCCCUAAAACCCUGACCAGUGUGGGAUCAGAUAGCCGCAGCAGUGGGGAGUGGAGGAAAAUAUGAAAUGACACAUGUAAACACACGCCAACAUAUGUACACACACCAGUGCCUGUACACCCACACUCGCACAUGUGUGUGCACAAGGUGUGUGUGUGCAUGCGCGCACACACACACACCCUCGACUCCACACAGCCUGCCCCUGUGUACAGUGAGGACUGGAGGCCUACCUCCG
rnacentral:lncRNA from 1 species